UUUAAUAUGGCAGAUUAAGUGCAUUGAAUUUAAACUUCAAAAUAUAGAAAACUUUUUCUUAUUAAAU
rnacentral:tRNA from 1 species